rnacentral:rRNA from 1 species
UGGGGAAUAUUGCACAAUGGUGGAAACCCUGAUGCAGCGACGCCGCGUGAGCGAAGAAGGUUUUCGAAUCGUAAAGCUCUGUCCUAUGAGAAGAUAAUGACGGUAUCAUAGGAGGAAGCCCCGGCUAAAUACGUGCCAGCAGCCGCGGUAAUACGUAUGGGGCGAGCGUUGUCCGGAAUUCUUGGGCGUAAAGGGUACGUAGGCGGUCUAUUAAGUCAGGUGUGAAAGCGUGAGGCUUAACCUCAUUAAGCACUUGAAACUGAUAGACUUGAGUGAAGGAGAGGAAAGUGGAAUUCCUAGUGUAGCGGUGAAAUGCGUAGAUAUUAGGAGGAAUACCGGUGGCGAAGGCGACUUUCUGGACUUUUACUGACGCUCAGGUACGAAAGCGUGGGGAGCAAACAGG